UACAGAGGUCUCGAGCGUUGUUCGGAUUCAUUGGGCGUAAAGGGUGCGUAGGUGGCGCCGUAAGUCAGGUGUGAAAUUUCGGAGCUUAACUCCGAAACUGCAUUUGAUACUGCGGUGCUUGAGGACUGGAGAGGAGACUGGAAUUCACGGUGUAGCAGUGAAAUGCGUAGAUAUCGGGAGGAAGACCAGUGGCGAAGGCGGGUCUCUGGACAGUUCCUGACACUGAGGCACGAAGGCCAGGGGAGCAAACGGG
rnacentral:rRNA from 1 species